AUACUUACCUGGCAGGGGAGAUACCAUAACCAGGAAGGUGUUUUUCUCAGGGUGAGGCUUACUCGUUGAUUCCAGAUGUGCUGAUCCCUGCAAUUUCCCCAAACGUGGGACACUCGAUCAUACAGUCUGUGGUAGUCGAGGACUGCCUUUGCUCUUCAUCCUUUU
rnacentral:snRNA from 1 species